GCCGGGGUAGCCGAGCACGACGAGGGACGCGCAGGCGCUGCCGUCGCCGCCUUUGACGUAGGACAGAUCCACGCCGCCCACCCGCUGCAGGCCGGCCCAGCCCGGCUCCCGCUGCCACCGCUCCGUGUCCUCCGGCACCACGGCGGCCCGCAGCCUGUCCUGCUCGCACUCCCAGCGGCGGAGCGUGGCGGCCGGCACUGCCUUCGGGACCGUCUCCGCCAUGGCGGACCCCCACAACCCCC
rnacentral:lncRNA from 1 species